UAAGAGUGUCCAUCAAUUGACCGCCUCUCGGGAAAACACGGGUGUAGAGAAGAAAAGCAUAUGCAAAUAUUGGUGUUCACUCGCAUGUGAUCCAUGGAGUCGCGUUGUCCGCCGGCGUCUUGCCUCAAACGCUGUCGGCGGAGCUAGGCCUUACGCAUCUAGCCACACGCGCGAGGCCAGGAGGCGGAGGAACUAGCCAUGACGCCGAGUGGCUUGGAGGUCUCACACACAGUUUAUGUCCCUUGCUAGAUGGUUACUCGAAGUUACAUCAUCAUGCGAAAAACACAUACACUUCUUCUCAUUUUUGUUGGUGUUGGAUAAAUCUGAGGAUGCAUCGACACCGCGGUUCGACCAAACGCCUUCAAUGCUUGGUUCAUUGCAAGGAGUUCCGACAAUGACCACAUACAAGGCAUAAAUGAGCAUGUCAGGCAUGUACACUGUUGUGGAGAGGGUUGCUGAUGUGAUAUGUAAAUGGAAAGGGGUUACAUUGAUUGAUUUUCAUGAUAAAAAAAAGUAACGAUGGACCGCCGCGAUAUGAAAGCAUGUUUUUUAAUAGGAUAAUAAAUAAAUAAAAAUUAGAUCAACAUUAGUAAAAGCAACCGCUAAAAAAUCGACAUCCUGGAUCCUCGUUCUGGCUCAUUUUUUCCAUCGUUGGGCCCAUCCAUCAUAUUCUUCUCCCUUUUCUCUUUGUUCGGAGCAUGAUGACGUGUCCAUCACUCUACUUGUACGUACAUCGGCCUCAAAGCAGAAAAAGGAAAUAUAAUACCUUUUGUUGCUA